rnacentral:lncRNA from 1 species
AUUUGCUGCAGGGAGUGGGUUGGGCAACUAUGAACCAACUACCUACCAGGGGCUAUAGUUUGAACAAGAACUUUUUUUCCAUUGCUCUGGAAGUAACACAGCUAACGGUCUUUGAAUGAGAGUCUAUGACAUCAGGUUGCAGAUAAGGAGCGGGUAAGAGAGCUGAGGACCACUCUGCUGAUCAUCCAGCAACAGUUAUUUAUGAUGUUCUCCUCACAGGUAGAUUCCCUAUUCAAAAUCAAAGAGUUGAUUUUGAUUUAUUUCCAUUUGUUUUAAUUUGGCUAGGACUGAAAUUGUAUUUUCAGGAUCAGCAGUCAUAUAUUUGGAUCAUGUUAUUGGGAAAAAAUGUAAUUACCUUCAAACCUCAAGAGUUCAU